AACACCUGCCUGCUGCUCCCCCAUCCCCCACUCCCCACUUCUCUCCAACACGCACCUAAUGUUCCAGCCACAUGGAGUGGCACACAGCCCCCAAAGCCCUGAAGUCUUCCCCAUGCUAGGUCCUCUUCCUGGAAUUCCCUUCCCCUCCUAAGAAGCAAGGAUGUGCUCCCUCUGCCAGACUCCAACCAUAUGUGUGUUUUCAUCUCAGUACUGCCAAGGUCUGCCGUAGAGAGGUGAGUGAUUUUUGAAGAUCUCUUCUGCAUAAUAGACAAUGAACUAUGUUUAAGCAGCCUGCAAGAAUUUUAGGCCCUCUGUGGAGCCUUCUCUGUGUCCUUCACAGCCAUGUGAGUCAGUCUCCACAUCUCGGCUUGUCCAGUGGAGGCCGCUUGCCUCCGUCAUUGCAGGGUGCCACCCC